GGUCCUUUAUUUUAAUUGAAUACAAAAUUGCAAAUUUUGAGGUUGGUAGGACUUAAAGAAUUC
rnacentral:tRNA from 1 species